AAACACGGACCAAGGAGUCUAGCAUGUACGCGAGUCAUUGGGAUUAUUACUAAACCUAAAGGCGUAAUGAAAGUAAUGAAGAUUCUCCUCGUUGGGAAUCGAGGGAAGACGGGCGAUUUACACCCUUAAAAGUGGUCGCUCCGCACUCCCGGGGCGUCUCGUUCUCAUCGCGAGAAGAGGCGCACAAGAGCGUACACGCUGGGACCCGAAAGAUGGUGAACUAUGCCUGGUCAGGACGAAGUCAGGGGAAACCCUGAUGGAGGUCCGUAGCGAUUCUGACGUGCAAAUCGAUCGUCGGAACUGGGUAUAGGGGCGAAAGACUAAUCGAACCAUCUAGUAGCUGGUUCCCUCCGAAGUUUCCCUCAGGAUAGCUGGCGCUCGUCGCGCACGAGUCUCUUCCGGU
rnacentral:rRNA from 1 species